rnacentral:tRNA from 1 species
GUGGAUGUAGCUCAGCUGGUUAGAGCGCUGGAUUGUGGUUCCAGAGGUCGCCGGUUCGAAUCCGGUCUUCCACCCA